ensembl:misc_RNA 7SK 7SK RNA
GGAUAUGAGGGUGAUCUGGCUGUGGCAUCUGUCACGUUAGCGAUUGCCAGGGUUGAGUUGGCUGAUCUGGCUGGCGAGACAGCUGUCCCCUCUUCCUUCCUCACGGCUCC